rnacentral:rRNA from 1 species
GACGAACGCUGGCGGCGUGCUUAACACAUGCAAGUCGAACGGUGAAGCUCCAGCUUGCUGGAGUGGAUCAGUGGCGAACGGGUGAGUAACACGUGAGCAACCUGCCCCUGACUCUGGAAUAAGCGCUGGAAACGGCGUCUAAUACUGGAUACGAGAAGGGUCCGCAUGGGCACUUUCUGGAAAGUUUUUCGGUUGGGGAUGGGCUCGCGGCCUAUCAGCUUGUUGGUGAGGUAAUGGCUCACCAAGGCGACGACGGGUAGCCGGCCUGAAAGGGCGACCGGCCACACUGGGACUGAGACACGGCCCAGACUCCUACGGGAGGCAGCAGUGGGGAAUAUUGCACAAUGGGCGAAAGCCUGAUGCAGCGACGCCGCGUGAGGGAUGACGGCCUUCGGGUUGUAAACCUCUUUCAGCAGGGAAGAAGCGAAAGUGACGGUACCUGCAGAAGAAGCACCGGCUAACUACGUG